rnacentral:tRNA from 1 species
GCCUGGGUGGCUCAGUCGGUUGAGCGUCCGACUUCGGCUCAGGUCAUGAUCUCACGGUCUGUGAGUUCGAGCCCCGCCUCGGGCU